UAGCAUAUCAAUAAGCGAGAAAGAACAACAGGGAUUGCCUUAGUAACGGCGAGUGAAGCGGCAACAGCUCAAAUUUGAAAUCUGGCUCCUUCGGGGCCCGAGUUGUAAUUUGCAGAGGAUGCUUCGGGUGCGGGUUCCUUCCGAGUUCCCUGGAACGGGACGCCAUAGAGGGUGAGAGCCCCGUCUGGUAGGAAACCCAGCCCAUGUGAAGCUCCCUCGACGAGUCGAGUAGUUUGGGAAUGCUGCUCUAAGGGGAGGUAUACUCCUUCCAAGGCUAAAUACCGGCUAGAGACCGAUAGCGCACAAGUAGAGUGAUCGAAAGAUGAAAAGUACUUUGAAAAGAGAGUCAAACAGCACGUGAAAUUGUUAAAAGGGAAGCGCUCGCUACCAGACGUGGGUUCGGUGGUUCAACCAGGUCCAUGACCUGGGGCACUCCGCCGGCCCAGGCCAGCAUCAGCUUUCCGUCGGGGGCAAAGGCGUCGGGAAUGUGGCUCCCCUCCGGGGGAGUGUUAUAGCCCGUCGCGUCAUACCCUUCGGGGGGCUGAGGUACGCGCUCCGCAAGGAUGCUGGCGUAAUGGUAGCUAGUGACCCGUCUUGAAACACGGACCAAGGAGUCAACCUUAUGUGCGAGUGCCCGGGCGUUAAACCCCAGCGCGGAAUGAAAGUGAACGUAGGUGAGAGCUUCGGCGCAUCACCGACCGAUCCUGAUGUCCUCGGACGGAUUUGAGUGAGAGCAUAUAGGGUUGGACCCGAAAGAAGAUGAACUAUGCGUGUGUAGGGUGAAGCCAGAGGAAACUCUGGUGGAGGCUCGCAGCGGUUCUGACGUGCAAAUCGAUCGUCAAAC
rnacentral:rRNA from 1 species